rnacentral:rRNA from 1 species
GACGAACGCUGGCGGCGUGCUUAACACAUGCAAGUCGAACGGAAAGGCCCUGCUUUUGUGGGGUGCUCGAGUGGCGAACGGGUGAGUAACACGUGAGUAACCUGCCCUUGACUUUGGGAUAACUUCAGGAAACUGGGGCUAAUACCGGAUAGGAGCUCCUGCUGCAUGGUGGGGGUUGGAAAGUUUCGGCGGUUGGGGAUGGACUCGCGGCUUAUCAGCUUGUUGGUGGGGUAGUGGCUUACCAAGGCUUUGACGGGUAGCCGGCCUGAGAGGGUGACCGGCCACAUUGGGACUGAGAGACGGCCCAGACUCCUACGGGAGGCAGCAGUGGGGAAUAUUGCACAAUGGGCGGACGCCUGAUGCAGCAACGCCGCGUGCGGGAUGCCGGCCUUCGGGUUGUAAACCGCUUUCGCCUGUGACGAAGCGUGAGUGACGGUAAUGGGUAAAGAAGCACCGGCUAACUACGUG